rfam:Canis lupus familiaris chromosome 25, whole genome shotgun sequence.
GGGAGCGCAGGAACCUGGGCUGUGUCCCCCCGCGCCCUGGGCUCGGGAGCCUGCGCUGCUGGAAUCGCGCUCCCGGGCCGGGGCUCCU